UUCUUUUGCCAGGUUUCUCACAGUGAAGAC
rnacentral:piRNA from 1 species